UUUUCGUCAAUGGGCGCAAGCCUGAACGAGCGAUGCCGCGUGAGUGAAGAAGGCCUUCGGGUCGUAAACCUCUUUUGCCGGGGAGCAGGGCGGCGGACGUGUCCGCCGUUUGAGAGUACCCGGAGAAAAAGCAUCGGCUAACUCCGUGCCAGCAGCCGCGGUAAUACGGAGGAUGCGAGCGUUAUCCGGAUUUAUUGGGUUUAAAGGGUGCGUAGGCGGGCUUUUAAGUCAGCGGUAAAAAUUCGGGGCUCAACCCCGUCCGGCCGUUGAAACUGGGGGCCUUGAGUGGGCGAGAAGAAGGCGGAAUGCGUGGUGUAGCGGUGAAAUGCAUAGAUAUCACGCAGAACCCCGAUUGCGAAGGCAGCCUUCCGGCGCCCUACUGACGCUGAGGCACGAAAGUGCGGGGAUCGAA
rnacentral:rRNA from 1 species